rnacentral:lncRNA from 1 species
UGAGCCAAGUUGGUGGAGGUGCCUGGGGAGGCCACAGCCCCUCUGGAUUCUAACGCCUGCACUGGGUUUCUCCCUGGGGCCUGGCCUUUCCUUCCCAGAGCCCAGUUUCCCCUCCGUCUGAUGGACACUGGACCUGCCCGCCCGCCUCUCGGGGUUUGCUGUCAGAGUUCGAAGAGACGCUGGAUGUGACCAGUAUGUAAGGCUUUCAGAUGGUGUCAUGUACGCACAGUUCUGCAGCUGGCUUUUUCCACCUGACGAUUCUUUCACUCCUUGUCCACCUGCUCAUUCAAGGGUCAGGCCGUAAUUUCCUAAUUAGGCACCACAGUCACCACCCCAUCGCACGCACUGAUUGCUUCCUGCCGUCCUCUGCAUCUCUGGAGCUCCCAGGGCCAAGCCAGGAGCCACUGGGCCAGCAGACUUCAGAGCCUCCACCAGGCAGCCAGAAAGUGCCAGGGAACUGGCAAACCGAGGCUGUCUGAGGGACCACCCUCCCUCCUCCCAGAGUCAGGCCCUGCUCAGAAGAGAAUCAUGGCUUGAUUUUUUCAAGUUCCAAAAGCA